rnacentral:tRNA from 1 species
GCCUGGGUGGCUCAGUCGGUGGAGCAUCUGACUCGUGGCUCAGGCCAUGAUCUCACGGUUCGUGGGUUCGAGCCCCGCAUCGGGCU